UCCUUCCAUUUUCAUUAUUCCUCUUUGUGAUUUAAAGAGAUUUUCCAGAGAGCUCAUUUUUUAAAAUUCAAGUCGUUGUGUUCGGCUUGUCAUGAAAGGCCUGUUUAGACAUGUAUGUUAUCCAGAAUUUUCACAGGUAUUCAACUUCAUAUCGGGAUAUCCAGAUCAAUGAACUGAAAAGAUAAUAAGCCUUUGUUCGAUUUUUCAGUGGCCUGUUUUCUUCAGGAAAGUUGGAAAUUCAAGCAACGGGUGUCAAAGAAAUUUAAUUUCGUUGUCCGGUAAACAAUUUUUUAGCAAAAUGUUUUCGUUUAUUGAAUCUAUUAAUAUACUGAUGAGUAUUCUUAUUUAUAUAGAGAUAUCUAAAUGGUCUAAAAUAAGUAAACAUAAGAUAAUUAAUCUUCAGAGCAAAAGAUAAGACUAUUUUUAUUCUUACCAUUAUCAUUCCCGAACGCAUCAUCUCUUGUCAAAUCUAAAAGUCACGCAUGACACAUGACGUACGGUUCUUUGUUGUGUCAACAAAUUCACGUAUGCAAUUUGAAUCCUUGCCACGUAAAAAAGAUGCGAAUUUCAAAACUUUCCCAGGAACUGUAUUCGAGUUGACAACGUUCGAAAGAUUCGCUUUUGAGCUUUCCUGAUCUGCUAAAAUACAGGAGGAAUAGGUGCCAAGCGCUUCUGUUCAUCUUUAGAUCUGGGCAACUACUGCAAUUAUGUCAAACAGCCCGGGGACCUUCUGACGUAUCGAACUUGCAUCUACACCUGCACAGGAGACGGAUGCAAUCCAGCCA